GAGAGCCGGAUGCAGGGAGAUCCGCAUGUCCGGUUCGAUGAGCAGGGGGUGGAAACGGGUCGUCUGGUGAGCCCCAC
rnacentral:ncRNA from 1 species